rnacentral:rRNA from 1 species
AUUGAACGCUGGCGGAAUGCUUUACACAUGCAAGUCGAACGGUAGAGGGGGCAACCCCUCGAGAGUGGCGAACGGGUGAGUAAUAUAUCGGAACGUGCCCAGUCGUGGGGGAUAACGUAGCGAAAGUUACGCUAAUACCGCAUACGAUCUAAGGAUGCAAGCGGGGGAUCGCAAGACCUCGCGCGAUUGGAGCGGCCGAUAUCAGAUUAGGUAGUUGGUGGGGUAAAGGCUCACCAAGCCAACGAUCUGUAGCUGGUCUGAGAGGACGACCAGCCACACUGGAACUGAGACACGGUCCAGACUCCUACGGGAGGCAGCAGUGGGGAAUUUUGGACAAUGGACGCAAGCCUGAUCCAGCCAUGCCGCGUGCAGGAUGAAGGCCUUCGGGUUGUAAACUGCUUUUGUACGGAACGAAAAGGUUUGGCCUAAUACGCUGAACUCAUGACGGUACCGUAAGAAUAAGCACCGGCUAACUACGUGCCAGCAGCCGCCGCCG